CCAAACCCGAGCCCCCCAGCCGCAGAGUCCAAUCCCGAUCGAGCCGGUCGCACGAGCAGGCGCGGCCGAGCCACCACUGGAUUCAUCCUCCAUCGUUCACAGAUCAUUUUGCUUGAGGACGCCACCAGCGACGGGGAAGGAUGCCGCCACUGGAUCCACCACUCUACCUCUCCCCUGCUCCUAAUCCAAGGUUCCCCCAUGGAUUCAGCCCAAUUCUCUAAGCCUUCUUUUUUUUGGCUUGCAGGUGAGCGCAAAUAGGAAGCGAAGAGCCUUCUCCUGCAGCGGCGGGGGCGAUUGGGAUGAAGCCGCCACCACCGUUCCCCCACUACUCUGGUUCCCCGACGACUUCGCAAGUCCGUGGUGAACAGGGAGAAGGUAUUCCAGUUUCAUGGUUCAAAGGACUGAUGUUUUCACUUUGUUGUUGCACAAAUGGUCUAUCUCUUAUAAAGUGAAAGCAAAUUUAGGUCCAAGAA